rnacentral:rRNA from 1 species
UAGGGAAUCUUCCACAAUGGACGCAAGUCUGAUGGAGCAACGCCGCGUGAGUGAAGAAGGCUUUCGGGUCGUAAAACUCUGUUAUUGAAGAAGAACGUGUGUGACAGUAACUGGUCAUGCAGUGACGGUAUUCAAUCAGAAAGUCACGGCUAACUACGUGCCAGCAGCCGCGGUAAUACGUAGGUGGCAAGCGUUGUCCGGAUUUAUUGGGCGUAAAGCGAGUGCAGGCGGUCUUUUAAGUCUGAUGUGAAAGCCUUCGGCUUAACCGAAGAGGGCAUCGGAAACUGGGA